GGGGGUGCUAUACUGCAGUCGAGCGGACAGAUGGGAGCUUGCUCCCUGAUGUUAGCGGCGGACGGGUGAGUAACACGUGGGUAACCUGCCUGUAAGACUGGGAUAACUCCGGGAAACCGGGGCUAAUACCGGAUGCUUGUUUGAACCGCAUGGUUCAAACAUAAAAGGUGGCUUCGGCUACCACUUACAGAUGGACCCGCGGCGCAUUAGCUAGUUGGUGAGGUAAUGGCUCACCAAGGCAACGAUGCGUAGCCGACCUGAGAGGGUGAUCGGCCACACUGGGACUGAGACACGGCCCAGACUCCUACGGGAGGCAGCAGUAGGGAAUCUUCCGCAAUGGACGAAAGUCUGACGGAGCAACGCCGCGUGAGUGAUGAAGGUUUUCGGAUCGUAAAGCUCUGUUGUUAGGGAAGAACAAGUACCGUUCGAAUAGGGCGGUACCUUGACGGUACCUAACCAGAAAGCCACGGCUAACUACGUGCCAGCAGCCGCGGUAAUACGUAGGUGGCAAGCGUUGUCCGGAAUUAUUGGGCGUAAAGGGCUCGCAGGCGGUUUCUUAAGUCUGAUGUGAAAGCCCCCGGCUCAACCGGGGAGGGUCAUUGGAAACUGGGGAACUUGAGUGCAGAAGAGGAGAGUGGAAUUCCACGUGUAGCGGUGAAAUGCGUAGAGAUGUGGAGGAACACCAGUGGCGAAGGCGACUCUCUGGUCUGUAACUGACGCUGAGGAGCGAAAGCGUGGGGAGCGAACAGGAUUAGAUACCCUGGUAGUCCACGCCGUAAACGAUGAGUGCUAAGUGUUAGGGGGUUUCCGCCCCUUAGUGCUGCAGCUAACGCAUUAAGCACUCCGCCUGGGGAGUACGGUCGCAAGACUGAAACUCAAAGGAAUUGA
rnacentral:rRNA from 1 species